rnacentral:rRNA from 1 species
UUUCCUACGGGGGGCAGCAGUGAGGAAUAUUGGUCAAUGGGCGAGAGCCUGAACCAGCCAAGUCGCGUGAGGGAAGACGGUCCUAUGGAUUGUAAACCUCUUUUGUCGGGGAGCAAAAAGGCCUCGUGAGGCCACAAGUGAGAGUACCCGAAGAAAAAGCAUCGGCUAACUCCGUGCCAGCAGCCGCGGUAAUACGGAGGAUGCGAGCGUUAUCCGGAUUUAUUGGGUUUAAAGGGUGCGUAGGCGGGCUUUUAAGUCAGCGGUAAAAAUUCGGGGCUCAACCCCGUCCGGCCGUUGAAACUGGG